AAAGCUGCGAAACAUAUGAAAACAUGGAAGAUCAAAAUUCAACAUGAUUAGAUGGUUCUUGUCAAUCACUUGGUACGAAACUGAUUGACUUAUUUUUAACGGACCCCAAGCAAAUGAAUGAUAUGAGAAACUGCAGUCAUCCAUCCUCCAAUUCUUGUGAUCCAAACUCUGCCUUAGAUUGAACAGUUGGAAAGUUCUACUACAAAUGGAGAUUUGUCGAUCAGAUAUCUCGAUGAAUAUGGAGCAGGCAUAAAAGCAGAAGCUUUUGAAGCAGAUUUGCUUUCUUGUAGACGUCAUUCAGAAUCUCGUGGAUGGAGGCAUUCGUGGCAAUGUUUGCCUCUAUGAAUACGCUGACUGCACCAUCAAAACAAGAAUGCAGUUUAUGUACAGUGAAGGCAAGAAACGAAGAGCUCUGCAGUUGCAUGGUUCUUGGACGCGAAGAGAAAAAGGAACUUGGA